AGAGGGUGCGAGCGUUGUCCGGAAUCACUGGGCGUAAAGGGCGCGUAGGCGGCUUCUCACGCGUGCGGUGAAAGCUCGGGGCUUAACUCCGAGUCUGCCGUGCGAACGGGGAGGCUUGAGUCUGGUAGAGGUCGAUGGAAUUCCGGGUGUAGCGGUGGAAUGCGUAGAGAUCCGGAAGAACACCGGUGGCGAAGGCGGUCGACUGGGCCAGUACUGACGCUGAGGCGCGACAGCGUGGGGAGCAAACAGGAUUAGAUACCCUGGUAGUCCACGCCGUAAACGAUGGGCACUAGAUCCUUGGGGGAGCGACCCCUUGAGGGUCGGCGCUAACGCAUUAAGUGCCCCGCCUGGGGAGUACGGCCGCAAGGCUGAA
rnacentral:rRNA from 1 species